rnacentral:rRNA from 1 species
GUGGAUUAGAUACCCUGGUAGUCCACGCCGUAAACGAUGAUAACUAGCUGUCUGGGUACUUGGUACUUAGGUGGCGCAGCUAACGCAUUAAGUUAUCCGCCUGGGGAGUACGGCCGCAAGGUUAAAACUCAAAUGAAUUGACGGGGGCCUGCACAAGCGGUGGAGCAUGUGGUUUAAUUCGAAGCAACGCGCAGAACCUUACCAGCGUUUGACAUGCCCGGACGGUUUCCAGAGAUGGAUUCCUU